UUUAUUUGAUAUUGCCUAUCCUACAUGGAUAACAGUGGUAAUUCUAGAGCUAAUACAUGCUGAAAAUCCCGACUUCGGAAGGGACGUAUUUAUUAGAAUCAGAACCAAUGCCCUUCGGGGUUUCCUGGUGACUCAUGAUAACUCCACAGAUCGCAUGGCCUUGCGCCGGCGAUGGCUCAUUCAAAUUUCUUCCCUAUCAACUUUCGACGGUACGGUCUUGGCCUACCGUGGUUGUAACGGGUGACGGAGGGUUAGGGCUCGACCCCGGAGAGAGAGCCUGAGAAACGGCUAUCACAUCCAAGGAAGGCAGCAGGCGCGCAAAUUAUCCAAUCCCGACUCGGGGAGAUAGUGACAAUAAAUACCGAUACAGGGCUCUUUUGGGCCCUGUAAUUGGAAUGAGUACAAUUUAAACCUCUUAACGAGGAACAAUUGGAGGGCAAGUCUGGUGCCAGCAGCCGCGGUAAUUCCAGCUCCAAUAGCGUAUAUUAAAGUUGUUGUGGUUAAAAAGCUCGUAGUCGAACCUCGAGCCUGGCCGGCCGGUCCGCCUCACCGCGUGCACUGGUCUGGCCGGGCUCUUCCCUCUGCGGAACCGCAUGUCCUUCACUGGGCGUGUCGGGGAGGCAGGACUUUUACUUUGAAAAAAUUAGAGUGCUCAAGGCAGGCCAAUGCUCGAAUACAUUAGCAUGGAAUAAUAGAAUAGGGACGUUGGUUCUAUUUUGGUUGGUUUCUAGGACCGCCGUAAUGAUCAAUAAGGGACGGUCGGGGGGCAUCAGUAUUCAGCCGUC
rnacentral:rRNA from 1 species